GAUGAACGCUAGCGGCAGGCCUAAUACAUGCAAGUCGAACGGUGUCUUCGGACAUAGUGGCGCACGGGUGCGUAACACGUAUGCAACCUACCUUACAUUGGGGGAUAGCCUUUCGAAAGGGAGAUUAAUACCGCAUAAGACAGUAGCUGGGCAUCCAGCAGCUGUUAAAGAUUUAUCGAUGUAAGCUGGGCAUGCGUCCAAUUAGCUAGUUGGUGAGGUAACGGCUCACCAAGGCUAUGAUUGGUAGGGG
rnacentral:rRNA from 1 species